GGGUUGUGAGGUUAAGCGACUAAGCGUACACGGUGGAUGCCCUGGCAGUCAGAGGCGAUGAAGGACGUGCUAAUCUGCGAUAAGCGUCGGUGAGGUGAUAUGAACCGUUAUAACCGGCGAUUUCCGAAUGGGGAAACCCAGUGUGUUUCGACACACUAUCAUUAACUGAAUCCAUAGGUUAAUGAGGCGAACCGGGGGAACUGAAACAUCUAAGUACCCCGAGGAAAAGAAAUCAACCGAGAUUCCCCCAGUAGCGGCGAGCGAACGGGUAGGAGCCCAGAGCCUGAAUCAGUGUGUGUGUUAGUGGAAGCGUCUGGAAAGGCGCGCGAUACAGGGUGACAGCCCCGUACACAAAAAUGCACAUAUUGUGAGCUCGAUGAGUAUGGCGGGACACGUGGUAUCCUGUCUGAAUA
rnacentral:rRNA from 1 species